rnacentral:rRNA from 1 species
GAUGAACGCUGGCGGCGUGCCUAAUACAUGCAAGUCGAGCGAACGGACGAGAAGCUUGCUUCUCUGAUGUUAGCGGCGGACGGGUGAGUAGCACGUGGAUAACCUACCUAUAAGACUGGGAUAACUUCGGGAAACCGGAGCUAAUACCGGAUAAUAUUUUGAACCGCAUGGUUCAAAAGUGAAAGACGGUCUUGCUGUCACUUAUAGAUGGAUCCGCGCUGCAUUAGCUAGUUGGUAAGGUAACGGCUUACCAAGGCAACGAUGCAUAGCCGACCUAAGAGGGUGAUCGGCCACACUGGAACUGAGACACGGUCCAGACUCCUACGGGAGGCAGCAGUAGGGAAUCUUCCGCAAUGGGCGAAAGCCUGACGGAGCAACGCCGCGUGAGUGAUGAAGGUCUUCGGAUCGUAAAACUCUGUUAUUAGGGAAGAACAUAUGUGUAAGUAACUGUGCACAUCUUGACGGUACCUAAUCAGAAAGCCACGGCUAACUACGUG